GUGUGUGUGUGUGUGUGUGAAGGGGGGUGUGUGUGGGGGGGUGGUUCAUUCCUCCUAGUAGUGGUUUUUGUUUGUUUGUUUGUUUUUGCUAUUUUAAAAUCCUAAGAAUUGCUUCAGGCACUGCUGACCUCCACCGAGUCCAUGGGGCCCGCACAGCUAGCUAGAGCAGCAGUCUUGCCCUAGCAGAACUUGAAAAGAGCCUGUUCCUGCUUGGCAAGCUGUCCUUUCAUAGCGUCUUCACCUGGGCCAGGGAUGUAGUUCAGGGACAGAACAUUUGACUAUCAUGCUGUAGACUCUGGGGUUCAUCAACAGCCCUGAAAAAAGAAGACACAGCCAGAGCAGAGUUCCUUUAAGGAUCACCAACGGCCACGAUGGUUCAUGGGACUCUGCAGGUUCAUUCAUUCCGUAAUCUCUUCUUGAUCACUUCCUAGCACCAGGCUGAACACAAAGCCGACCAAGUAUGGCUCCUUGCUUGCCCUUGUGAGUAAACCUAGAUGUGGGUAUAGAAUAAGCAACAAUCUAAGGCUGCCUCAGAAUAACUGCAUAUGAACACUGGGUUCCAAAACCGCUUCCCUUGUACGAGAAACCUGAGGAUUUUGCCUGGUGUGAGGCAGUCAUUGGUACGGAAGGUAAGAUGUCAACUAUUCAGGGCCUUCAUUACGCUACCUGGAAUGAGAACUGAGUUGACUCCAUGAGGAAGCCUAGCCUGGUGUUAUUUCUUUUCAUGCUAUAAUUCAGAGGAUAUGGUUUGAUUAUGGAGUUGCUUUUUGAGAAGUUGAUGGUGGGCCGGCCAGUGAGAUAGCUCAGCAGGGAAAAAAAGUGUUUGCUGUGUGUAAGACCCACGGGUUUGAUCCCAGAACGCACGUAAAGUUGUUAGGAGAGAGCUGGCUCCACAAAGCUGUCUUCUGGCCUUUAUACUCCUGCUAUGGCAUGUAAGCCCACACAUGCCCUUGACACACAAGACUUCGUAUAAAAAAAUACUUUCUGCCACUAACAAUUCCAAAGCCUACUCCAGAGACACACGGAUUGCCUCUGUGCUCACCAUGUAAAUUCUAAAAUUCUCAGGAAAUCUGAAGAAUUUGGAUUAUUUUGAUCUGGCUGGAUUCCAAUGUGACCCAGUUGCUUUAAUGCUCUUUAAUUACUUUUAAUCAAAUGAAGGUGUUAAUUUUAAAAUUUGACAAAUUAUUAAGAUUCAUUCUGGCUGUGAGUAGAUUUAAUUCAGUUCAUUUCUGGGGUUAGAACAUAAAACAUGACUAGCCAUAUGGAGUAGUACACAUCUAUAAUCACAACACUAUGGAGGCUGAGGCAAGAGGAUCUUAAGUUCAAAGCCAGCUUAGGCUUCAAGCAAGACCCUGUUUCAGAAAAAUGGAAAAGGAAAAAAAAAAAAAAGCAUGACUCUUAGAUUCUCCACUUGAGACGAGCAAGUGCAGGAUCAUUGCUGGCCUUUACUCCUGAGGAAGCUGGGCGUACAGCUGCUGAGGCUUCAGUGGAUCUCCAGUGUGGAAUGAGUACCUCUCCCUUUUCCGCACCCUAGCCCAUCCCGUGCUGGUGCAUAACCUAGUGCGUACAAAAACCCAACCACUCAUAGUCCCUGGUUGCCAUGCCUACCCCGACAUAAUUUCUGUUCUUGUCAGUUUUCUGUUAAAACUAAGAAUGGACAUCAAGAGAUACCCCUAUUGUAUCAUGUGUCAAAUAUUCUUUCCUUCCUGCCUUCUUUCUGUAAUGCAGCCUCACCUCCUCCGGGAGACCAGGUUCAAUAAUCGCUACUGCUACAGUAUUGAGUACUGCACUGAGUGGCAGCUGCAUUGUAAAGUAUAAUCAGAUCCUGGAUCCUUUAAUGACAUCUCACCCCUCUGGGAAACAAGGUUUCCUGACCCAGAGAAUGUAAGGUUUGGGUAACAGGAAGCACAAUUGCCCAAAUGUACCACUGAGAAUGACAUGAAGCAGGGUCAUGCCUACUUCCCUCAGGCCUAUGUUUCCAUAUAUUUUGGACAUAGCACCCAUAAAAUGUUCAUUGAUUUAGGGGGGCAUCUCAGUCUAUGAAGUGUCAUCUCUAGGCUGGAAUCUCCAAACUGGAGAGAACUAGUGGACUCUGGUCCAAGGCACUGUUACAUGGGCAUCCGAUAGUAGCCGUAGCUGGAAGAGCCUUGGUGAAUGGAAGACCACACUACUGAAAUUCUACCUAACCAUUGUCCCCGCACACUUGACCUACCCCUGUACCCUGUGCCAGCACUACAUUGCUCUGAGCUGACUUACAUGCGUGGCUCAGUGGGGAAUGUCUUUCAGUGUCACUUUGGUAGCAGGUGCUUUGAGGAUAGUUGACAUGAAAUGGGAAAGUUCAACCUUCAUAUUCAUACUAGGGUUUCUCCUGUGUCCCUGAUCAAACGACUGCCAUGCAUCUUACCCUGAGCCACACUUCUUCCCAUGCAAAGUGGGUAACCAGUGGAUCAUCAGGAACUUUCCCCAUUUUAAGGAUUUCCCUUCACCACCCCUUUCAAGGUCAUCUCAAGAUUAUGUAGCACAACAGCACCCACCCUUAGUUUGCACUUUUGACUAAGCCAUCUGUGAGAAAAUAGGUCGCUGUCCCCCUCACCCAUCAGUCUGCUCAAAGGGCAACCCCAUGCAGCCAUAGUUGUGAAGACCAGUACAAUGGCAGUGGAUGACAUUUGGGUCUAGUCCCUGAACUGGUGUCUUCCCUCUAUGUUCAUGCCCAACCCCAUGUCUGCUACUUCCUUUUAAUGACAGAUUACUUCUACGCCCACCCAGGUUUAUGACUUGUGUAUAACCAGACCUCUGGCUACACAGCUGCAUGAUGUCCCAUGAUCAGAUGAUCCAUCUAAGUCAGGCCAUGGUAGUCUACAAGAACUUUUGGAAUGUUGUUUUCUAUGGGUGGUGUGAAUCUUGCUCCAGGACCCUAGAAGUCUAUGCUGUGAUUCUCCUUUAAUGAUUCCUAGUAACUUCCUGGCCUAAUUUUCCCAACAAACCCCACUAAUACCAUAGGGUGUUCUGAGUGGCAUGUCAGAGCUUCCUGCUGUACAGUUCUUUUACUUGGUAAAGGGAUCGAACAACAUCCUGGUGAUGAGAACACACCACUAAGUACAUUUCUGAGGUGACGACUCUCUCCUUAGACAGUGGGAUGGAGAUUUGAGAGUCAUGCCGCUCUGGAAACUGAGCUAGUGACAGCAGCAGUAUCUAGUGUGGUUUCCAUUUCUGUGAUAGAACACCGAGCAAAAGCAACUUGGGAAGGAAAUGGUUGAUUUGACUUACAGGUUACAGUCCAUCAUCGAGGAAACCUAAGGCAGGACCCAGAGUCAGGAACUGAAGCAGAGGCCACAGACCUACUGGUUUGCUUCCUCCAGCUUGUUAAAAUCCUUUUCUUCGAUAGCCCGGACCCACCUGCUUAGGGAUGGCACCACCCACAGUGGGCGGGCUACUUCUUAAUCAGUAAUUAAGAAAAUGCCCUCACAGACAUGCCCACAGGCCAACCUGAUGGAGACUUUUUUUUCUUUUCUUCUUCUUUUUUUUUUUUUGUUUUGUUUUUUAGUGACAGGAUUUCUCUGUGUUACCAGCCUUGGCUGUCCUAGAACUUGCUCUGUAGACCAGACUGGCCUUGAACUCACAUGAAUCCACCUGCCUCCGCCUCCUGAGUGGUGGGAUUGCAGACAUGCACUACCACGCUCAGCUGGAGGCCAUUUCUUAAUUGAGAUUCCCCAGCACAGGCAGCUACUGAAGUCUCCUAACCCAUCCAUUCUUGGUUUAUCAUUGUUUUAAGCUGUUACCCUCGUAGACCACCCUCAUCUUGCCUCUAGAACAUUAAGUUCUAUUCACUGUCUUCAUAGACACUUGGAUAGGACCACUGGAUGACACAUCACCUUGUCUUUUUGUUGCAAUAAUUGGCUUAUCUGGCUUCUGUUAUUCUGGGAUCCUAUCCUUGUUUCUGUCAAAGAGCCCCACUCUAUAACUGUGUCUCUUCGGUCAGCCCUCCAUGCAGAAGACAGCCUCCACUGACGUCCUUAGCAAUCAUUACCCUGUUAAUGUACUUUAUCACAUGGUCUGUCCUGUGGGCUCUGGCUGGUCAGUUCCAUCCUUACAUAGUGUGACACUUGGAACUGUUGGUACCUUUCAUCACUCUGCUGUGACAGUUGUAACAUUUCACAUCUUUACGAACAGCUGAUAUUUUCUCCAAGUUUCUAUGAGCCACCCUAGCACCUGUGUCCCCUGCCAGGAUAAUAAAUUCCUUAUCCCGACAGAGUUCCCACUAUGGAUAAACUCUCCUUAUGUAAUGCUAGCCAGUAUUCUCUGUGACUAUAGUGUUAGGUAUGAAAAUGAGCCAAAGUUUUCCUUUCGUAUGCAAAAGGAAAGUGUCGUCACCACAAUAAGGAUUUCCUGCUAGAACAGAGACCUGUUAUAUCCCAGCCCAGGUUCUUGGCUAAAUGAAGCACAGCAGACUUGCCUUCCUGGGAGAGACCUGCCAUCUUGUAAUAAGGAUAUAUUAUCAGUAUAUUAAUUUUGGUCCAAUUUUUAAAAUAAAAGUGCAUUUUAAAAUAAAAAUGUUCUUUUACAAUAUGCUUUGCUUUCAAUACAUAAAAAAAUCUCUUAAUUUGAUCUUAUAUCCAAUGUUUAUAAGUGUAAGAUUAAUGGCUCAGUUUUUUUUAAGAAUUAUUAUUAUUAUUAUUAUUAUUAUUAUUAUUAUUAUUAUGUGUGUGUGUAAGCACGUGUGCAUGUAAGAGUGUGCACAUGGGUACCUAUGGAGGCCAGAAUUUGACAUCAGAUCUCCUGGAUCUGGAGUUACAGAUGGUUUUGAGUCCCAGAAGUGGGUGCUGGGAACCUAACUCUGGUCCUCUGCAAAAGUUACAAGCACUCUUUAACUGCUGCCUCCUCUCCCCAGCCCUCAGUUAGUAUUUCUGCUAACUUUAACUUUAGGUUUUACUGUGGAAUGUUCUUUUUGGUAAAGAAGUGGGAAAUGAUGGUAGUAAGCACAGAUGUUUCUAGGCUUUGUAAAAGAAAAAUGCUGAUUCCUUUUACGAGAUUAACUUUGCUGCUGGCUCCAUGGUGUAGUGUUUAGUGCUUUGAACUUUGAAUCCAGAGAUUAACUUUGAAUUUUUCAAAUUUAUUUAUACAGCAGUGUUACCUGGAGUGCUUUUCUAAACAGCAUUUCCCAAAAAGUUUGAAGAGUAGCAAACUGACUGUCAUUGAGUGCUUGCGUGCACAACAGUGCAGAGCAUGUUCUGUACAGCAGCGCCGGUACUUCUGGGUGUCAUGGUCUGCGCACUGGACAUCAUAGAUUUGCGUAUUUACAAGGAGAAUUUUCCAGCAGAUGGCAGUCAAGUGUCUGUUUUAACAAAAUAAGAUUAUUCCACCAAUUUCUGCCAAUGGAAAUAAUGUCUUGAGAAUUGGCCACCCUUUUCAACUCACACAAAGAUAUGUGGAGGAAUGGUGGUACUGCUUACUCUCCUGCCGAGUCCUAUGUGUUUUCAGCCUUGUUUAACCCUCAGAAUUGUAUCCAGGGAGUGCUGUUGGUAACCAGCCCAUGGCCUCACUCAGCUCAUAGUAGUUUGGGGAUUCUCGUGGAUCUUGGUCUCCUUAAAACUCUAUAGUCCCUUCUACACUACACUAUUUCAGAAAACUAAAGCCUCAGAACUUGAAGAGACUUGACUGACUGUAGCAAGAGAGUUGUCUCAGCCUAAAUCAGCCAGGGGCCAGCAACCCUGGCUCAGCCCAGCCCAGCCCAGCCUGCGUUCCUUCUGCCCACUGCGGGCUUUCUGCGGUGCUGGAGAUACUGGGAGCACCAAUGCUUGUAUGGUUUACACUGUACAUGCCACAGAAAUAUGUAAAAUGGAGAACUCAAAGUAGGUUUGAAAUCAUUCCCACACAGCUGAACAUCUUUAUAUCCAGCAUACUUUGAACAUAUACCAUCAGUAAUGUAUACAUUUUAUAUUUUAGUAUAAAUUUUUUACUAAGAAUGUGUUGCCAAUAAAUUCUGUGCAUGCACAAACUAACAGGCUUUGGUUAAUGUGUAACUAUCUAUACCAGACCAUCUUGUGAUGGUGAUAUAUUAAUAUUCUUGGUCCAGCAUUCAGUUAAAAUUACUAUAGAAAAAAUACCAAUCAUGAAUGAAAGGACCUCAGAAAUACAUAUUUUUAUACUGAUCACUAAAUUAAUUACUGAGGAAAUACUUUCCCCUAAACCCAUUUUAGGUAAAUAGUGAAAACUUUGCUCUGUAAAACAAAGAAACUGCUGUGUCUCUGGGAAUUUUAUUUUAAAAUUCUUGAAUAACAUGGAUACAUUUUCCCCAAUUUUUUCCCUAACUGUACAAGGCUUAGGAAGCCAUCUGAAGUUGGGCUAACUUCUUAAUGGCGUCUUUCCCGGGUUCUGCGAUCUGGAAUGUUUUUGCUUCCCUCCCCCAUUUCACACUAUAACUGACAUUUACAGACGAAGCUCUGCGUUCUUUAAAGCAGUUCCUCUGAUUAGGAUAUGACUGUAGAGCCUCCAGGACUAAUGAAAAACAAAAUGAUGUUCAUAUUUUACCAAAAUCUAAUUUUAGAACUUGAGAGGCUUUGAAGCAAUUGGUAAAUACAACAGUUAUAGAUACAGACUUGUCACUUGAUCCUGUCAGUCUCUAAAAGUAACUACAAAUUAAGUUUUCUAAAUGUCAAAUUUGAUGGCCAAAUAAGCCCCACCGUUUGCUAGCACCUAUCUUAAGGGAUGUUACAGAAAUGUCUUCGUCCUUUCAGGGUCAGUUUCUGAACCUAACUUCUUGGGGAUGGCCUUUGGGAUUUAAGGCCAGGGUGACUGUUGAGCAGAGUUUUAUCUCUAGCAGCAAGUAAAGCUUUCAUUCUUUAAGAGAAGGGGUUUUCAUUGAGAAGAAAGGUUAGAAAAACAGGCCAAUGUCCUAUGAAUAUGAAGUUGUCAUUUGUUUCGCAUGCUGAAUUAAAUAUGACUGCUUUGUGCUCAGUGUGGCUUGUGGCUGUUUUGCUCCAUCUGGGAGAGAGAGAGAGAGAGAGAGAGAGAGAGAGAGAGAGAGUGUGUGUGUGUGUGUGUUAGAAAACUCCAUGAGGGCAGGAAGUGUAGCUUUGCUUUAGUACAAAUCAUUGGGCUUAACCCCCACUUAAGAAUGAGGACUGGGAGACACUGCGUAACUGCUGGCCAACAUGUCUAACUUUGCCCAUCAGAUCUCCCACAGAUCACAUCAAGUUUAUGUAGAAUGGAGGUGUUACAGCACCUGCUUCAUAUAGGCUGUUUCCAUGAGCAUCUUCUGAGAAAGCUGAAUGUGUAUCAUCACCCUCCCUACGAGGCGAGUGACCAGAGCCCAGGCUUCACUAUCCCUUUCAGAAAGGUACUGCUCAUUUUAUCUCUUCCCACACAGGUGAAGUAGCUUCAUCUACGAAAAAGAAGGUCUGGCCAACUCUACUCCCAAAGCCCUAACAGCAGUUAUCCCUCAUAUGUGAGGAAUCCGUAUAAAAAGUUAAAAUUUGAGCCGGGCGGUGGUGGUGCACGCCUUUAAUCCCAGCACUCGGGAGGCAGAGCCAGGCGGAUCUCUGUGAGUUCGAGGCCAGCCUGGGCUACCAAGUGAGUUCCAGGAAAGGCACAAAGCUACACAGGGAAACCCUGUCUCGAAAAAACCAAAAAAAAAAAAAAAAGUUAAAAUUUGAAUAAACUGCCAGGGGACUGAGAGAGAGGUCAGUCUGCAGAGACAAUUGGCACCAACAAAACUCAAACCAGUAGUGAAGAUACCAGAGAAUAUCGUCAAUGACAGACAUUAUGUUUGCUUUAACACACAUAAAAGGAUUUUUAAUGCCAUAUUUAAAAAGUUUAAUGUUGCUUAAAAUGUCUUAUAAAGAAACAUUUUAUACAGGUGGGUGUGGAGGCAUGCCCCUUAAAGCCAGUAUUUCAAAAGCAGAGGCAAGCAGACCUCUCAGAGUUGGAGGCCAGCCUGGCCUACAUUGUGAGUUCCAGGACAGCCAGUGGUACAUAAAAGAUAGACCUGCCUCAAACAAAACAAACAAAAAAAGAAACAUAACUUAAAAUUUCCUAAUCCCAUCUGAUCAAAUUAGAAACAUCUAGCAGGACAGUAUUAUUUUAUUCUUAGUGUAGUAUUCUUUGAUAAAGAUAAAAUGAUAUAGAAAGUGAACAAUGUCAACUACAAAGUGUAAUGGUAAUAGGAAGAAGCAAGAGGGAAAUCACCAUUCUAAUAUCUAAGGAUAUUUUAACCGAGGUAAAUUAAUUUUUGUUACCACCAUCGUGGUCAUCUAAGAAAAACUGCUGUCGUGGUUUUGUUGGUUGUUUUUGUUUCAGACAGGGGCGUAUUCUGUCACACAGACUAGUCUCAGACUUGAACUCCUGACACCAUGGCUUCCCCAGUGCUGAGCUAUCACACAUGAUUGAAAAAGUCUAAUUAAUGAUGAAGCCGGGCGGUGGUGGCACAUGCCUUCAAUUCCAGCACUCAGGAGGCAGAGACUGACGGAUCUCUAUGAGUUCAAGGCCAGCCUGGUCUACAGAGUUCAUUCCAGGACAGCCAGGGCUACACAGAGACCCUGUCUUGAAGAACCAAAAACCAACCAACCAACCAAACACGAAAAGGACUGGGGAAAGCUACUUUUAUCUCCUCAAAUCAUUAAAUGGCUCAUAAGACAAACUGGAUAGACAGGAAAGAGAAAGGGAAGCUAAAAAAUUGGGAAUAAAAUAAAGCGUUAUUUUCCUAUGCAAUGAGUCUAAGAAAUUGCUGUAAGGAAAUAAAAUGGGCUAUGAAAGUGUUAAGAAAGGAAAUCAGGAGUGGGGGUUAUGCAUUGGACACACAUGACCAUGAGUUCAGUCCUCAGCAUGCUCACAAGAAGGAAACCACUAGAUACUCUAGUUUGACACAAGGAAAAGAGAUGGGAGUUUGGUGCUGGUUAUGAAGAAGCUUUUAAAGCUGCAAGAAAGCUGUUUGCUGGGAGAAGGUAAGGAAGACAGAGGUAAACCCAGGAGAGUGCUCCAUGUAAACGGGUAGGGGUCUAAGAAGGAAAGUUGAAACCAGGUUUUCAGGACUGGGCCCACUGUAGUCUGGAAAUUUUCUGAGUUAUCCUGUCCCUCUCUGUUCUUCAAGUCUCCAGGAAAGGGCACUCAAGAAAUAUAUCUUUAGGAGAUAUAGAAAGAUGGCUUAGUGGUUAAGAGCCCUGGCUGCUUGCUCUUCCAGAGGACCCUAGUUCAAUUCCCCGCACCCACAUGAUGGCUUACAAUUAUCUGUAACUCCAGUCCCAGGAGAUCUGAAGCCUUCUUCUGGCCUCUGUGGGCACCAGGCAUGCACAUGGUACACAGAUAUACAUGUAAACAAAACACUCAUACGCAUAAAUAAAAUUAAUUAAAAAGAGAAAUAUCCCAUUAGACCCAAAGACAUAGGCAUAACAACCAAGAUUCCUGAAUCCAAGCACAAGUUCCUAAGGCCAGAAGUGCAUUGGCUAAGUAGAAAAAUUUUUUUUUAAAAAUUGCAAUGCUAUUUUUAAUGUUUUGUUGGAAUCUGCUUUGAUCCCAUUACAGCUUCUUAAGUGAAAUGCGUUAAGCCUGAGUGCUGCUAUUCUGCUCAAAUUAUAUCUUAAAUCCCUGAGUAUGUGAAUUCUGAAAAUAUGUUGGGAAGGUGAACCUGGGACAAGGGAAUCCUGAAGACCCAUUUUCCAUGUCUGCAACCUUGAAUGGGAAUCACGAUAAGACCUCUCAGUGAGAAUGGAGAGUUUGAGCGUCAGAGUACAUGGAAGACAGGUAAGGACAACCGGGAAAAUCUCCGCUUCAACAACCAUCUCUGCCAGGUCCACAGAGUGCUUUGCGAUGUGACUGAGAGCUGAAAGGACCUGGUGCUGAUAAGCAGAAAAAUAGGGUUGAGGAUCAUCUGGGCUAAGUGAGCAAUAGCUCCGACAUCCACCACCGUCUGUGCUAACUCUGGAGAAUGCUUUGAAAUGUCACUGAGGGCCGAGGCAGCAAUCCUUUUCAAAGCAAUUUCUGGCUCCUGGAUACAGAGCACUAAAAGAGGAACAGCUCCCGCAUCCACCACAGCUUGUGACAGUUCUGUGGGUCCAAGAAAAGUAAUUAAGUGAGUAUGGGUGACUGACCCUUGUGCAAGCCAUCUUUCACCCUGACAGAUAGAGCAAAGAAAAGAGGGGAGGGUGCACUCCACUCUCCCGACAUCUGCAUUUCAAAUCAGCCUUUCUGGUUUCAUAAACCAUGUGGACCAAUCCCGAGCUGAAAAGAACACAGGUCAAUAGAUGGACCUCCAUUUACAUGAACACAUUUGAGGUAGAUUAGGCUGAAAUGGCUUGUUAUCCUUUUUUUUUUUUUUUUUUUAAGAGAGUAAGCAGAUGUCAGCUGUUUAAGCUCUGGCAAUUCUGCACUUCUCAAUAGGCAAGCGUUUUAUGCAUGGUUUACAAUAACAGAGAAAACUAAAGUACCAAAAAUUUACCAACCACACUAAUUAGGCAGUAUUUUGUUCUAUUUACAUGAGUAAACAUUAGCAUGAAUCAUGGACCAAUAAUGUCGAUUUUUAAAUUCCUUUCAUUUUCUAAUACUUCAAAAAGAUUUUAAAAAAUAUUUUAUACAAAGUAAAAGACUGUCUUUUCAUUGUAUGCUAAAACACUUUAAAAAUGAGGUUUAAAACUUAUCAAUAUACUUUUAUAUAUAAGUAUUAAUAUAGAUAAUUUAGAUAUAUCUAUAUUAUAUAGAUAAUUUAGAUAAGGGAAUAUGUAGCUAGAGUUUUCCUGCCUGGCCCACAGUCAGGACAAAUCUCUAUCACCUGCCGGUCCCACAGUCGCUCAGACCCAACCAAGUAAACACAGAGACUUAUAUUGGUUACAAACUGUAUGGCUGUGGCAGGCUUCUUGCUAACUGUUCUUACAGCUUAAAUUAAUCCAUUUCCAUUAAUCUAUACCUUGCCACAUGGCUCAUGGCUUACCGGCAUCUUCACAUGCGGUUUGUCAUCUUGGCGGCUGGCAGUGUCUCUCUGACUCAGCCUUCCACUUCCCAGCUUUAUUCUCCUCCUUGUCCCGCCUACAUUUCCUGCCUAGCCAAUGGCCAAUCAGUGUUUUAUUUAUUGAUUAAUCAGCAACACAUUUGCCAUACAGACCAUCCCACAGCAGGAAUAAAUUUAUAUUUACCAUGUUAUACAGAGAGCAAACAAAUAUCUUUUGAAUAUACAUGUUGAUUUACUUGUAUGUCCAAAAAUAACAGCUAUAAAGUAAUAAUUUUACAUUUCAGAGAAUGAGAGAUGUUGGAGCAGACCCUUAUAAUACACAUGCAAUAAAUGCCAUUUGAGAAGCGGGAAGCUCUGUCCAGUAACACAUUAUACUCCUGAUGCAUGUGUGGUCUCAUGGAAUCACAUACACCAUUUCUCUAAUUUCUUCCUCCCAAAUUACAUCUGUAUUUCCCCAUAUUUCUACUGCCUUAGAUAUAAAUAAAUGUCUUAAUUGUCAAGUUAAAAUAGCUAUUUACCAUGUCGCUUUAGUCUUUAAUUUGAAGAAAAUACUUAAUUUUUCAAAAGAUUGGUAAUACUACAUUUUCUAUUGUUAGCAAAUACAGGUUAGUGUCUAUAAUUUGUUUUCCUCAAAUUAUCAUAAUUGAAGUCUCAAUAAUGUAUAAACAUUUUAUUCAUUCCUUCAAUAAACAAGUAUUGAUGGAAGGUUA